rnacentral:rRNA from 1 species
GGUUGACCUCGGAUCAGGUAGGAAUACCCGCUGAACUUCAGCAUAUCUAUAAGCGGAGGAA